rnacentral:rRNA from 1 species
AAAGCUGAGGGCAUGCAAUACACAUGCCCGUUGAACGGUAACAGGUCUUAAUGACGCUGCCGAGUGGUGAACGGGUGAGUAAUACAUUGGCAUGUGCCCAGUCGUGGGGGAUAACUACUGGAGAGAGUAGCUAAUGCGGCAUACGAUCGCAGGAUGAAAGCAUGGGACGUUCGGGCCUCGCGCGAUUGGAUCGGCCAAAGGCACAUUAGGUAGUUGGUGGGAUAAUGGCCCACCAAGCCGACAAUAUAGUAGCUGGUCUGAGAGGGUGACCAGCCACACUGGGACUGAGACACGGCCCAGACUCCUACGGGAGGCAGCAGUAGGGAAUUUUGCACAAUGGGCGAAAGCCUGAUCCAGCAAUGCCGCGUGCAGGAUGAAGGCCUUCGGGUUGUAAAGUGCUGUUGUAAGGAACGAACAAGCUCCUUAUAAUACAGGGGGCCCAUGACGGUACCGAGAGAAUAAGCACCGGCUAACU